rfam:Nicotiana sylvestris Nsyl_contig121824, whole genome shotgun sequence.
AUACCAUGAUGUGGACAUGUAACCAAUAGACCCUUGAAUCUCUCCUACGUUUCUUGUAACGUCUCUAUUGGUUUCUGUCUGAAGCUCAAUAUCUCAUCAAUUUGUUG